CUCACCCUGCCCUGGUACACAACACCCAACAGUCUGGGCAAAGCGUGUGUGGAGGGAUGGAGAGGACACAAACCAGGGCAGAAAAAUGCCUCAAGUCGACGUUUGGUGCCUGCCCGCUUGGCUGUCAGCAGCACCAGCCCCAACACUGCGCCGAUGCUUCAUGUGCCUUUGUUUUGGGUGGUAUGGUUACACGGCCUCUGUCUCGGUGCCUCUGAAAUGCAGGUGCUGAGAUAACAGGAAGAGAUAACCCCACAACAGAGGAGCUCUGCGCGCAGCAGCGCUCAUUGGCUGCGUUUCCCAUGCGCUUUCUCUGCCUACAUAAUAACAGAAGGAAGGCAUUUGGGGUUGCUGCCUGCCCUCCCACACAAAUACCGACUUUCAUUUCCAAUCCUUCUUGGUGACUCGGGCAGGUGAGCGAGCAUGGGGUGACCGUGGGGUAAAAUUAAAAGCUUGGAAACCAAAACCAAACGGCCUGUGGGCAUCCGGAAACUGUUUCCAUGCUCACCGCUCCCCGGCUGAGUCCUGGUGAGGCAGAGCGGGUGGUAAGUCCGGUGUGUUAGGACAACCAAGCCCUUGAUGAGCCUCCUGCUGACGUGUCGUGCCUGUUGGGACAGCCUGGGACCUCUCUGGUGGCAGCCCGAGUCAGACAACCCCUUCUUCCUCUGUUAAAUGCAAGGAUCCUCUGUGCUUGAGCUCGUACCUUCCAGUGGAAUUUGCAUGCCCUGCCUGUUUCAGCUUGUAAGCCACCUGGGACAGCAAAGAUGUUUUAUCUGCAGUGACAAAUUGCUGCAUGAAGUUACAGUGCUACUUGAAAAGAACAGCCUCCCUAACAACAUCGCAGCCUGCUGGCCAUGAUAUACCUGGGAGAAGGUUAAAGAAAACAAAGGAACUCCAGACUGAUGUGGAGAAGGGCAGGGGAAUAUUGCCUCACAGACAAAAUAUACGGCAAGAACAGGUUUUUGGCAGAAAAGAAGCAGGUCGGAGGAAGUCAGAGGCUUUUCAGCCUCUCAAAGCUUGCUGGUGACUGGAGGCUUCUUCACUUCCAUGUAGCAUUUUCCACAGCUGCCCGUG